CGUGUAGGCGGCUGAAUAAGUCAGAUGUGAAAUCCCUGGGCUUAACCCAGGACGUGCAUUUGAAACUAUUCAGCUUGAGUAAGGGAGAGGAAAGUGGAAUUCCUGGUGUAGAGGUGAAAUUCGUAGAUAUCAGGAGGAACACCGGUGGCGAAGGCGACUUUCUGGCCCUAUACUGACGCUGAGACGCGAGAGCGUGGGUAGCAAACAG
rnacentral:rRNA from 1 species